AAUAUACUCCCUCCGUCCAACAAAAGAUGUCUUAAGUUUGUCAAAAUUUGGAUGUAUUUAGACAUGACUUAGUGUAUAGAUGCAUUCAUGGACAAAGUUAUCUUUUGUUGGACGGAGAGAGUAUUUA
rnacentral:pre_miRNA from 1 species